GUGCUAUUUUAUGGUGGACUAAACACGAUUUUGUGGUAUUAUGUUAACUAAGCUGUAUAUCUGGUUAACUGAAAGUUUUCUGGACGCGGGUUCAACUCCCGCCGUCUCCACCAAUAGGGUAUUGGUGAGUCAGUAUCUUAUUGAUGGGGACGCCAUGGUUUCGACAGGGAAAAAUAGGGAAAUUGGCAGCCGGUAGGCGAUGACCGUAAAUCAAGCAAAACUUCUAAAUGCAAACGACGAAAGUUACGCAUUAGCCGCCUAAUUUGGCCGCUAGGAGCCUGAUUCACUUGGCAACAGAACGAAUCAAAGGGAGCUUCGGCUCCCUUUUUA
rnacentral:tmRNA from 1 species